AACCAACAGGGAUUGCCCUAGUAACGGCGAGUGAAGCGGCAACAGCUCAAAUUUGAAACCUGGCGCUUGCGUCCGGAUUGUAAUUUGUAGAGGAUGCUUCUGGGCAGCGGCCGUUCUAAGUUCCUUGGAACAGGACGUCAUAGAGGGUGAGAAUCCCGUAUGUGACCGGCGCGCACCCUCCACGUAGCUCCUUCGACGAGUCGAGUUGUUUGGGAAUGCAGCUCUAAAUGGGAGGUAAAUUUCUUCUAAAGCUAAAUAUUGGCCAGAGACCGAUAGCGCACAAGUAGAGUGAUCGAAAGAUGAAAAGCACUUUGGAAAGAGAGUUAAAAAGCACGUGAAAUUGUUGAAAGGGAAGCGCUUCCAACCAGACUCCGCGGCGGUGUUCCGCCGGUCUUCUGACCGGUCCACUCGCCGCCGUGGGGCCAACAUCGUCUGGGGCCGCCGGAUAAGACCGGAGGAAUGUAGCUCAUUGAGUGUUAUAGCCUCCGGUGAUGCGGCGCGUCCCGGGCGAGGUCCGCGCUUCGGCAAGGAUGUUGGCGUAAUGGUUGGCAGCGGCCCGUCUUGAAACACGGACCAAGGAGUCUAACAUCUAUGCGAGUGUUCGGGUGUCAAACCCCUACGCGCAAUGAAAGUGAACGGAGGUGGGAGCUUCGGCGCACCAUCGACCGAUCCUGAUGUCCUCGGAUGGAUUUGAGUAAGAGCAUAGCUGUUGGGACCCGAAAGAUGGUGAACUAUGCCUGAAUAGGGUGAAGCCAGAGGAAACUCUGGUGGAGGCUCGCAGCGGUUCUGACGUGCAAAUCGAUCGUCAAAUUUGGGUAUAGGGGCGAAAGACUAAUCGAA
rnacentral:rRNA from 1 species